GGCACUAGUAGAAAAAACCCCUGUUGCAGCCCCCUUGUUGCAGCGUACAUGUAUAAAUACGCUUCAACAACCAGUCGGUCAACGCGGGUCAAACCCUUUAAAGGGUUAUCGCAGCGUACAUUUUAGUUGUUCGCAGCAAAUGUGUUUGUUGCAGCGUACAAAAUAAAAGCCCGCAGCAACAACCCGACUUUGUUGCAGCGUACAUGUUAUUGCCCGCUGCAACAAGUCCGCGUUUCAAAAAAAUUUACUUUCCUAUGCAACAAACCGCGCUCAAACGAGCGGGCUCAAACGUACGUUGUUCUUUCUCUGCUCCAAGAUUUUUCCCUUAAACAAAUAUCCAAACAAACCGUCGAACUCAGCCGUCGAACUCAGCCCUGCGUCGCCGUCGAACUCAGCCCUACGUCGCCGUCGAACCCAAGCGUUGCUCAGCCCUGCGUCGCUGUCUUCGCCGGUGUGUGGUGUUCUAGCCUCAUCUCCCCCAUCCCGUUCAAUUCUCGCGCGGCCUGUCACUGAAAGGUUAUAUUCUUGGUCGGCCGGGGGUUCAGCAUUUCCCCGUCGCGUCGUGGUUCCGGUGGUUGCUCGGCGUCGUGGUUCCGGUGGUUUUGCUAUGGUCCAAGACGAGCUUGUUUCUUCCAUUAAAGAUGCAGCGGAAGGACUUUUUCACCUAAAACGUGCCCGGCUGUUACGUGAAGUUGAUUCAGCUGUGCAGGACUCUAUAUAUUCCCAUAAAGACGCUGCGGUCGAGCUUAUAAAUCCAGCAAAGUUGGGUGGUUCCCAACUUCCGUGCGAAGACUUAGAGGUAGAACCAUUAGAUUCUACUAAUGUUGAGGCAGAAAUAUUGGGAGACCCAAGUUAUUUUAUUGGAUCAAAAUGUAGAUUCCGCCACACCGAUGGGCGUUGGUAUAAUGGUCAAAUUGUUCAGUUGGAUGGUUCUUCUUCCGCCAGAGUUUCUUUCCUCAAUCCAACGUCAGAGAAGAUGAUGCAAAAUGUAGACCCCUGAGUUCAAGCUAGUGGGGAUAGGGCAGAAGCAAUGUCAUUAUCAUUCGAGUGACAGAUCGAAGGAGACUGAUCAUAAGACUCUACGAAGGCUUGCUCAGAACUGUGAGGCAGCAAGGAAAAGCCGGUUGAGGAAAAAAGUCUACACUCCGAGGAUUGCGCCUUAUGCGAGGAAUUUGAUGUGGUUCGUGAGCAAUGGGCUAAGUUUUUUACCAACAAGUAUUUAUUAUUGGCUUUAGCGCGCUUGAUCGAGUUGGUUUAGUUGUUAUAGAAUAAAUUUUAUAUUAAAAUGUAUGUUUAUGUUGAAAUUGGAACAUAUAUUUAAAUGUAAUAUGUGCACUUUGGUUUUGGGAUAUAUAGUAUACAAAACUCCAGUUGUUGUUUUUAUA